rnacentral:rRNA from 1 species
CCUACGGGGGGCUGCAGUGAGGAAUAUUGGUCAAUGGGCGGGAGCCUGAACCAGCCAAGUCGCGUGAGGGACGACGGUCCUAUGGAGUGUAAACCUCUGUUGUCGGGGAACAAAGGCGCCCACGGGUGGGUGGAUGAGUGUACCCGAAGAAAAAGCAUCGGCUAACUCCGUGCCAGGAGCCGCGGUAAUACGGAGGAGGCGAGCGUUAUCCGGAUUUAUUGGGUUAAAAGGGUGCGUAGGCGGACAGUCAAGUCAGCGGUAAAAUUGCGGUGCUCAACGCCGUACAGCCGUUGAACCUGGGAGUCUUGAGUGGGCGAGAAGUAUGCGGCAUGCGUGGUGUAGCGGUGACAUGCAUAGAUAUCACGCAGAACUCCGAUUGCGAAGGCAGCAUACCGGCGCCCUACUGACGCUGAGGCACGAAAGCGUGGGUAUCGAACAGGAUUAGAUACCCGAGUAGUC